GCCUGGGUGGCUCAGUCGGUUGAGCGUCCGACUUUGGCUCGGGUCAUGAUCUCACGGUCCAUGAGUUCGAUCCCCACGUCGGGCU
rnacentral:tRNA from 1 species